rnacentral:rRNA from 1 species
AGCUCCAAUAGCGUAUAUUAAAGUUGUUGCGGUUAAAAAGCUCGUAGUUGGAUUUCUGUGGAGGACGGCCGGUCCGCAUUUUGUGCGAGUAUCUGGUGCGGCCUUUGCAUCUUCUUGUGGAACGUACUUGCGCUUAGUUGCGUGGUGCGGAAUGCAAGACUUUUACUUUGAGGAAAUUAGAGUGUUCACGGCAGGCAAGCGCCUUGAAUAUAUUAGCAUGGAAUAAUAAUAUAGGAUCUUUGCCCUAUUUUGUUGGUUUCUAGAGCGAAGAUAAUGGUUAAUAGGGACAGUUGGGGGCACUUGUACUAGAGCGUCAGAGGUGGAAUUCUUGGAUUGCUCUAUGACAAACUACUGCGAAAGCAUUUGCCAAGGAUGUUUUCAUUGAUCAAGAACGAAAGU